rnacentral:tRNA from 1 species
CAUUGAGAAGCUAAGAAGAACAGCAUUAGCCUUUUAAGCUAAAGAACGGAGGCUCGAAACCACCCUCAGUGA